GUGCUUGCUUUGGCAGUACAUAUAAUAAAAUUGGAACAGUACAGAGAAGAUAAACAUGGCCCCUGCUGACAAGGAUGACAUGGAAAUUUGUGAAAUGAUUCAUUAAAAA
ensembl:snRNA U6 U6 spliceosomal RNA